AUCGCUUCUCGGCCUUUUGGCUAAGAUCAAGUGUAAAACGUAACUGUGUGCCAUUACUAAACUUUUAUGAUUUAAAGUUGUUAUUAUUAUUUGACAUAUAUUUGAAAUGUGUGAGACACAUGCCCAGUACCACCACACUGAUUGCAUGAUUUCUGCUGCUGUAGUACAAUCU
rnacentral:snRNA from 1 species